AAGGUUGUCCCAGUUCGUGGGAAGUUUAUGAAACACACCAGUACUGCUACGUGGGUCGGGGAUUUGAAUGGAUAGAUGCUAAGAUGGCAUGCGUACGAAUGAACGCCUACCUGAUUGAGCUGGAAAAUCCGGGUGAAGCGACCUGGGUUUCUGAAAAUGUAACAAGUGGAGAAGCUCCUGUGAUAUGGAUUGGAUUGGCUGUUUCUGGGUCAGAUGAUACCUUUUACUGGAAUCACUCUCACACUGCACAUGGUUCUAGGGGCUGGGAACCUGGAUACCCUGUAAAUCCUUUGGAGCGAAGAUGUGCAGGGUUUGACACAGGAUCCCGUUCUUUGAAGAACUUUCCUUGUAAUUACACGAUGAGUUUCAUGUGUAAAAAACCUUAUAGCUAAAUAUUUUUUUUUCGAAAAUUGAUUGUUUAUAUCGCAAAAAAAGAAAAUUCAUCACUGUAAUGGAAAUGUUUCUUUCCAAA